UGAUUUAGUUUAGUGGCGGACGGGUGAGUAACGCGUGAGUAACCUGCCUUCAAGAGGGGGAUAACAUUCUGAGAAGAAUGCUAAUACCGCAUGACAUAUCGGAACCACAUGGUUUUGAUAUCAAAGAUUUUAUCGCUUGAAGAUGGACUCGCGUCCGAUUAGUUAGUUGGUGAGGCAACGGCUCACCAAGACCGCGAUCGGUAGCCGGACUGAGAGGUUGAACGGCCACAUUGGGACUGAGACACGGCCCAGACUCCUACGGGAGGCAGCAGUGGGGGAUAUUGCGCAAUGGGGGCAACCCUGACGCAGCAACGCCGCGUGAAGGAUGAAGGUUUUCGGAUUGUAAACUUCUUUUAUUAAGGACGAAAAUUGACGGUACUUAAUGAAUAAGCUCCGGCUAACUACGUGCCAGCAGCCGCGGUAAUACGUAGGGAGCAAGCGUUGUCCGGAUUUACUGGGUGUAAAGGGUGCGUAGGCGGCUUUGCAAGUCAGAUGUGAAAUCUAUGGGCUCAACCCAUAAACUGCAUUUGAAACUGUAGAGCUUGAGUGAAGUAGAGGCAGGCGGAAUUCCCCGUGUAGCGGUGAAAUGCGUAGAGAUGGGGAGGAACACCAGUGGCGAAGGCGGCCUGCUGGGCUUUAAC
rnacentral:rRNA from 1 species